rnacentral:rRNA from 1 species
AUUGAACGCUGGCGGCAGGCCUAACACAUGCAAGUCGAACGAGUGGCGGACGGGUGAGUAAUGUCUGGGAAACUGCCUGAUGGAGGGGGAUAACUACUGGAAACGGUAGCUAAUACCGCAUACCAUCGGAUGUGCCCAGAUGGGAUUAGCUAGUAGGUGGGGUAACGGCUCACCUAGGCGACGAUACCUAGCUGGUCUGAGAGGAUGACCAGCCACACUGGAAAUGAGACACGGUCCAGACUACUACGGGAGGCAGCAGGAGGGAAUAUGGCACAAUGGGCGCAAGCCUGAUGCAGCCAUGCCGCGUGUAUGGAGGAGGCCUGCGGGUUGUAAAGUACUUUCAGCGGUGAGGCGUUACCCGCAGAAGAAGCACCGGCUAACUCCGUGCCAGCAGCCGCGAGAAUA